GAACCGAGCUUGGGCAAAGGAGCCAGCCUGCAGGAGUAUGCUGCUCACUGACUGUGCCAGAUGCCUGGGGAACAAAAAUCCCUUGUGAAUCCCCCUGAGUCCACGUUUUGGAUGACCUAAUUGCUAUCACAGAAACAUGUUCACCCUGUGUCAACCUCUAGCAGCACGGGAGGUUACAUGGACAAUUUGUUCUGAUCCUUUUGCCUGCAAACAUCACUUCCCAGACCAGAAAUUAACGGAUCAACAGAAAAGUGGCUUCAUCAGAAUACCCACAAAGACCAUGCUGUUACAAGAGCCCCCAGCCAGAAGGAAUGUACACCAUAGUGAUUUGGAGGACGUCCAGCAAGUCCAAGAGCACGUCGGAAGACUGUUAAGAACUCUCUCUUUGUGACAGGCCUACUAUCCAAAUGCACAAAGAGAGGACCUUCUCCUUGUGGCCGUGCCGCCACAUAGGCACGGAGAGCUUCAACAGGACAGAUCCACAUCUCUCUAGAAAGUCCCAGUUGGACCAAAGACCUUUCUUGACCUAUUUGAGAUGUAUGCAAGCAAAGGUUUGCACUCCAGCCAGUCAGCUGGAGAUCACUCAAGUACAAGAGCUUUGGCUGCACUACAUUUCUCUGAUUUGCCACUAUUUCUUCUGUGUGUAGUGCCCCCCAAAAAGCGACAGUAAAUAAGGCACGGAACAAUAUACACUCAUAAGGAGAGCUACACACAGACUCCAGAGUUCCCAGGAGAGAUCUUAACACUUCAAUUGUUACAGGAGAGUAUUUAUCUUUUGAAAGGGCAGUCCUACGUUUCAAUCUUGAUAUCACGUGACAGAUGGCGGGGUCUUGAAGAGGAUCAGGAUGAUCUACCAUUUUGGAGAUGAAGGAUAGUCCUUCCAAGUACUUUAUUAUUUUUAUGGGAGGCAGAUCCUGGGACUCCAUGAUGACCAAGAACCCUUUCACUUGACUCACUGGAACUGGCCAAACUGCAGGCAGUGCCAUGCAUUCUCUAAAGGCAAGAAACUUCUUCAGGCCCUCGCAGUAGAGCUGCCAUUGGCGGUUACUUCCUGAGCCCUCCAGUAACAUAAGAGUCUUCAGGGGCCAAGGACCCAAGGGAUGCUUCUCAGAAACACGGCUGAGUUCAUCUGCAGAGAGAAACCUACAUUAGCAACGGCAAGCAAGGCAGUCUCACAGAACAAGCAGACAAAAGCUUCUUUCCUUACAGCACCCUGCAGCCAUUGCUUGAGCCUCUCUGGGAAAAAAUAACAACAACACAAAAACUCUACAAGAGCGUCCCUUGCAUUUUUAUGACUCUCAUGUGUAGAGCCAUAAGGAUGGAAGGUUAAGUAUAAGAACAGCCCAUGACUUUUCUCCUUAGAGCAAUGCUCCAAGCCUGGUGAGGGACCCAGAACUGCACCCCAGGGUUCUGCAACCCCAGCCCGAGAUGAACAAACACAAGGGUCUGGAAAUGACAGAAAUACAUAUUACAAAUAAAUUCUUAGUGCAUGCAGCUCCCACCAGGCUUCCUACACAGGGGUCAGAGCCCAAGGAAAGAGCAUGCCAGCCUCCCACUUACCUUGGCCACCGCAUGCAGCCCCCCGUGCCCAGACCCCUCAGAGCCACACAUACCCACUCUGUCCCCACCACCAGGCUCCUGGCCGCUCGAACCCAGCGAUCCAGCGCAGCCAUUCGGACAACGCAGCAGCCACUCCAUACCGGGUUCUCGUCCCAGCAAGGCGAGGAGCUCCCAGAACGGCGAAGGGCUGGCGGCAGCCGGCUCGACCCCGCUCUCAGAGCGCCACAUCACCAACAAAGCGACGCCCCCAACGCUACAAGCACGAAGCAGCACCACGACGUCCCCAUUCCACCUUUAUGUACCCUGGCCCGACCUCCCGGCCAAUGAGAGGGACCGUCUCUCAGCCGUGCCCUUCUCUCAGCCAAUCGCGGAGCCCGU
ensembl:lncRNA